rnacentral:rRNA from 1 species
CCUACGGGAGGCAGCAGUGAGGAAUAUUGGUCAAUGGACGAGAGUCUGAACCAGCCAAGCCGCGUGAAGGAUGACUGUCCUAUGGGUUGUAAACUUCUUUUAUAUGGGAAUAAAACGUUUCACGUGAGGGUUAUCGUAUGUACCGUAUGAAUAAGGAUCGGCUAACUCCGUGCCCGCAGCCGCGGUAAUACGGAGGGUCCGAGCGUUAUCCGGAUUUAUUGGGUUUAACGGGAGCGUAGGGGGAUUGGUAAGUCAGGUGUGAAAGGUUGCGGCUCAACCGGAAAAUUGCAGUUGAAACUGGCUGUCUUGAGUACAGUAGAGGUGGGCGGAAUUCGUGGUGUAGCGGUGAAAUGCUUAGAUAUCACGAAGAACUCCGAUGGCGAAGGCAGCUCACUGGACUGCAACUGACACUGAGGCUCGAAAGUGUGGGUAUCAAACAGGAUUAGAUACCCGAGUAGUC